AUGCCAUGUUCAUGUGUUGGUUGUUUACUAUGUUGUUUGCUCUUUUUCCGGUGUUGCUUCUUCGGGUUGGUUCCGAUAACGUCGUGUUGUGAGGAUUCGUUCAUCUACAUCCAUUUGUCUUCUUCAUGGACUCGUUCUUCUUCCUUGCGGGAUUUCAGCAUCGGCGUUGUACAACUCACCGGAGCUGCUCCAUUGACGAAACCCUCCAUCACAGCGGAGCAGUACCACAUGCUCCAUCUCCAGACGCCUAAGAUCUUCUUCCCCUCCUCCGACAGCCAAGUCAGCCAGGGCAACCUCACCGACUAA
rnacentral:rRNA from 1 species